rnacentral:rRNA from 1 species
GUGGGGAAUAUUGGACAAUGGGCGCAAGCCUGAUCCAGCAAUACCGCGUGUGUGAAGAAGGCCUGCGGGUUGUAAAGCACUUUCAGUAGGGAAGAAAACUACAGGGCCAAUACCCCUGUGGCCUGACAUAACCUACAGAAGAAGCACCGGCUAACUCCGUGCCAGCAGCCGCGGUAAUACGGAGGGUGCGAGCGUUAAUCGGAAUUACUGGGCGUAAAGCGUGCGUAGGCGGCUUGGUAAGUCGGAUGUGAAAGCCCUGGGCUCAACCUGGGAAUUGCAUUCGAUACUGCCUGGCUAGAGUAUGGUAGAGGGUAGUAGAAUUCCUGGUGUAGCGGUGAAAUGCGUAGAUAUCAGGAGGAAUACCAGUGGCGAAGGCGGCUACCUGGACCAAUACUGACGCUGAGGUACGAAAGCGUGGGGAGCAAACAGG